UUAUAUUACAAUUUGAUCUUCUUCUCAAACAAAGAAAUACUAAUAGGUUCUGGUGUUCUAAACACCAAGUACAUAUGAUAUAACUACAGUUUACUUACUCUAUACUUCUAGGGCUCAUUACUAGGGCUCAUUAUCAGUGAACAACAUUCAUACCCACUUGAUACAUUGGAAUAAUUGUUCUUAAAACCCAUUUGAUGAGAAAAAAAAAGAGGAGAAAAUACAAAUAUUCUUCUCAUUCAAUUAUAUCACAACCACCAUAAAUUUCACCCGAAAGCAUCAAAAGGCUCCAAAUCUCACAAUAGUGGUGACGAUUAUCCUGAUAUAGUAACCCUAAAUCUUCACAGACUCUUUAACUAGAAGCAACCCAACGUGGUGUUCGCGAAAUUGAAAAUGGAGCACAAUACCUUCGAGUUUUGAAGAAACUCAUUCUAAGGCAACGCCACUACAUAACCAAAUCAUUAGUCCUUUAUGCAAACUCGAUCCAGUAAAAUCGACAGUAUUUGGCUCCUACACUUGAAGAUGCAGACGCAUAUUUAAUCCUAGAGCUUGAAACAUGAGGCUAAUUUAAGCUACAGCUCCUGGGAAACGCACCAUUGAUGGCAUUCUCUCGUCAAUUGACUACAAAGACAUACUCAUCGGCUAACAAAAAGGGAGAAAUGAGUCAUGCGCACAAGGUGUUCGGCAAAAUUCUCCAGAGAAGAUUGUUGGGAAGAAUACAAGCUUCUGAUCGGUUCCUGAUGCCAUCUCCAUAUCCAAAAAAAAUCGGAUGAUGUAACAAAGCGCUCAACGAAAUGUAACAAAAUGUUUUGCUUCUAGAUUCUCUGGUAGAUUUAACUGGCAUAAUGAAGGAGGAAGAAUGAGCUAUGCACAUAAGGUGCUCGAUGAAAUUCUUAAGAACUAAAACAUCAUUUAUUUAGCUUUUACACUUAACCUUUGCAAGGUCUUACAUUCAAACAGCAACAUUUUCACAUCCAUAUAUACUUUCCCGUCUUUCUAAUAGAUUUUCGUUAGCAUUA